UACGAAGGGUGCAAGCGUUAAUCGGAAUUACUGGGCGUAAAGGGUGCGUAGGCGGUUAUUUAAGUCUGCCGUGAAAUCCCCGGGCUCAACCUGGGAAUGGCGGUGGAUACUGGAUAGCUAGAGUGUGUCAGAGGAUGGUGGAAUUCCCGGUGUAGCAGUGAAAUGCGUAGAGAUGUGGAGGAAUACCGAUGGCGAAGGCAGCCCCCUGGGCUAACACUGACGCUCAUGCACGAAAGCGUGGGGAGCAAACAGG
rnacentral:rRNA from 1 species